AAAGCGGGGGCAACCUCGUGAGUAAAGUGGCGUACGGGUGAGUAACACGUGGGUAAUCUACCUCUUGGUGGGGAAUAACGCUGGGAAACCGGCGCUAAUACCGCAUAAGCUCGGGAGAGGAAAGCAGCAAUGCGCCGAGAGAGGAACCCGCGGCCGAUUAGCUAGUUGGUGAGGUAACGGCCCACCAAGGCUAAGAUCGGUAGCCGGCCUGAGAGGGCACACGGCCACACUGGCACUGAAACACGGGCCAGACUCCUACGGGAGGCAGCAGUGGGGAAUCUUGCACAAUGGGGGCAACCCUGAUGCAGCGACGCCGCGUGAGCGAUGAAGCCCUUCGGGGUGUAAAGCUCUUUCGGCAGGGAAGAAUCAUGACGGUACCUGCAGAAGCAGCUGCGGCUAACUACGUGCCAGCAGCCGCGGUAAUACGUAGGCAGCGAGCGUUGUUCGGAGUUACUGGGCGUAAAGGGUGUGUAGGCGGUCCUCUAAGUUUGGUGUGAAAUCUCCCGGCUCAACCGGGAGGGUGCGCCGAAAACUGGGGGACUAGAGUGCGGGAUGGGAAAGUGGAAUUCCUGGUGUAGCGGUGAAAUGCGUAGAUAUCAGGAGGAACACCGGUGGUUGUAGACGGCUUUCUGGACCGUAACUGACGCUGAGACACGAAAGCGUGGGUAGCAAACAGGAUUAGAUACCCUGGUAGUCCACGCCCUAAACGAUGCAUAUUUGGUGUAGGUCAUUCAGUUGAUCUGUGCCGGAGCUAACGCGUUAAAUAUGCCGCCUGGGGAGUACAGUCGCAAGGCUGAAACUC
rnacentral:rRNA from 1 species